GUGCUCACCCAAAGAGAGAAGACUCUCCUAUCUUUUUUUUCAUGCCAUGAACCAUGCCCAAACCCCUUCACUAUGGAGAACUCUUUCUCUUCUAUCUUACACACACAAAAUAAAAAAUAGAUCUCUUUUAUUUUAGCAUGCAAGAAGCAAGUGUGUUAAGAGUCAUAGGGAUGUUGGACUCUAUCAAGUUAUCGCCUCC
rnacentral:lncRNA from 1 species